GAUGAACGCUGGCGGCGUGCCUAAUACACGCAAGUCGAGCGAAUGGAUUAAGAGCUUGCUCUUAUGAAGUUAGCGGCGGACGGGUGAGUAACACGUGGGUAACCUGCCCAUAAGACUGGGAUAACUCCGGGAAACCGGGGCUAAUACCGGAUAAUAUUUUGAACUGCAUGGUUCAAAAUUGAAAGGCGGCUUCGGCUGUCACUUAUGGAUGGACCCGCGUCGCAUUAGCUAGUUGGUGAGGUAACGGCUCACCAAGGCAACGAUGCGUAGCCGACCGGAGAGGGUGAUCGGGCACACUGGGACGGAGACACGGCCCAGACUCCUACGGGAGGCAGCAGUAGGGAAUCUUCCGCAAUGGACGAAAGUCUGACGGAGCAACGCCGCGUGAGUGAUGAAGGCUUUCGGGUCGUAAAACUCUGUUGUUAGGGAAGAACAAGUGCUAGUUGAAUAAGCUGGCACCUUGACGGUACCUAACCAGAAAGCCACGGCUAACUACGUGCCAGCCGCCGCGGUAA
rnacentral:rRNA from 1 species